rnacentral:rRNA from 1 species
CGUAGGGGGCAAGCGUUGUCCGGAUUUAUUGGGCGUAAAGAGCGUGUAGGCGGCCUGGCAGGUCGGUCGUGAAAACUGGAGGCUCAACCUCCAGACGUCGACCGAAACCGUCAGGCUAGAGUCCGGAAGAGGAGAGUGGAAUUCCUGGUGUAGCGGUGAAAUGCGCAGAUAUCAGGAAGAACACCCGUGGCGAAGGCGGCUCUCUGGGACGGUACUGACGCUGAGACGCGAAAGCGUGGGGAGCGAACAGGAUUAGAUACCCUGGUAGUCCACGCCGUAAACGAUGGGUGCUAGGUGUGGGCGGUGUCGACUCCGUCCGUGCCGAAGCUAACGCAUUAAGCACCCCGCCUGGGGAGUACGGCCGCAAGGCUA